GUAGAGUUAAGGUCCACUCAAAAAAAUUAUGUUUUGUUAGGAAAAAUCCUUAGUAAGGGACAAUCCGCAGGAA
rnacentral:tRNA from 1 species